rnacentral:lncRNA from 12 species
GAUGGUGCCACUUUAGAUAACUUCCCUGUGGCCUCACCACCUUGUUCCUCAGUCUGGAAGAGCUGAGGAUUAAGGUCAGAACUGAGUGGAGAAUGGAGGCGAAGAAAGGUUGCAGGGAAUGGCCGCUUACAGCCUGGAUCACCACUCUGCCCACCUGAUCCUUCCUGUUGAUAUUGGCACAGUGCCUACUGCUGGAAGAGGAGAGAAAAAAAAGAGAAAGGAAAGGAGGAAAGGGUGACCAUGACAAUGAAUUCCAUUAAGCAUCUGAUGAAGUGGGACUGGAAGCAGACCUAACAGCUCUCCUGAGAAGAUUUUUUCUAUACAGUGACUCAAGGAACUGAGGCAUCAGAUAAUUUCUUCU